UACGUAGGGUGCAAGCGUUGUCCGGAAUUAUUGGGCGUAAAGAGCUCGUAGGUGGCCUGUCGCGUCGGCUGUGAAAACUCGGGGCUCAACUCCGAGCUUGCAGUCGAUACGGGCAGGCUAGAGUUCGGCAGGGGAGACUGGAAUUCCUGGUGUAGCGGUGGAAUGCGCAGAUAUCAGGAGGAACACCGGUGGCGAAGGCGGGUCUCUGGGCCGAUACUGACGCUGAGGAGCGAAAGCGUGGGGAGCGAACAGG
rnacentral:rRNA from 1 species